UGGGUCAGUUGUCACAGGCAUGGGCUCCUAGAGAAAGAUGGAUAAAGGGUUCCCCUCCUCUCUAUUGGGCAUGCUGUCUUGUCAUUCUAUUUUCUGGCCUGGAAUAAAGCAGGAAGAAGGCCCUAACAACAUGAAGACCCCUUGACCUCGCGCUUCGUGACCUCCAGAACAGUAAGGGAUGAAUCUCUAGUCUAUGUAGAACCCGGUGGUCGGUAUUGGGUUACACCAGCAUGAAAUGGGAGAAGAUAAUGAGCAAAAGCUUCUGGGAACACUGAGCAUGUGAGCAGCCUUUUAUUUCAACUCAUUUGCGAAGCUGACUUAGAACAUAAAGUUGCACUGCUAUAAACUGCAAACUUCAGUCAUCUAUGGAUGCACCAGAGUCCAGCACAAACUUGAGAGGCUUAGAGCCCCAGCCCGUUGUGAUUGCUUAUGAGUAUAUGACUGACUGGGAGAGACACUUGUAACCAUGACUGGAUCAGGAAUCCUUGACUAUAUGUUGUCUACAUGGACCACCUGAUCAAAUGCAGAUCCCUGACACCUUCUGAGACCCAGUGAAUUCUCUUGGAUUGGAAACUAGAAUCUCACUAUUUCUUUUAAACAAGAAAGUGAUUGAUAAACAUUGACACCUGAGAAUAAGGAAAUUAAAGUUAUGAAGGAAAAUAAAUUACCCUGAAGGGUAAGGGGGUUGCUAUCUAGAUAGAAUGGAGAUGUGCUAAGCCAGAGACAUGGAAAGACAGGUCAUCAUGGCAAGGAGAAGUUAGAAUAAAUUUCGAGUACCAAGAAUGAACUUUAUAGUUCCAAAGAGGAAAAAGACCUUGCUGAAGACUAAUUUCCUGUCAAUUCCUUAUCACAGUCUAGUCCCCAUCUAUUGACAACAGCUAGUCACCGGGUACAGGUAGGAAUGCAGAUGGUUAGAGUCUGCAGUUUAGUAGCCAUCUGUCAGCAUGGCGCUCACACUGUGGAAACAGCAAGUAUAGCCUCGAGGAGAAUAAUAAGCUUUAGUUGUUGGUCUUGGUAAGAUGAGCUGAAACUGACUACAGAUUCCUGCUUAUCUUGAUCAAAAAAAGAAAAAAAUCUUUAUGUGUGCAGGCAGAGAAAACUGCUCAGAGUGAUGACCUCCUUCAUGUCUGUGAGUGAAUGUUGUGUUGGCUACUAGGGUGUGGCUCUGGGAGGUCUUUGUCUUAUUUUAACUGGGAGUUCUACAGCAUGUUUGCAUGCUAGAAACCGACAAAGUUGGAGUGGGACAGGCAGAGAAGCUGAGAAUAAAGAGUGGGCAGAAUCCAUUGUGCUAGGGAAGCAUCUGCUCCAGAUCAAAGUAUGGAGAGUUUAUCCUCUAUUAAUAAAGGCGAGUAAAGUUCAAGAAAUACAUAAAUGCUGGUGUCCAGAUAGGAAUCCAUUCCAUCUCGAAGCUGCUUCUCCAGUUUUUCCUAAGACCAUUUGUGUUCAAGAAAAAGGAAUUUUAUUAUUUCACUUCUCUCCUUUUUUUCUUUCCUCCUUCUCCUCUUGUGUACCAUGUGGUACUUUCUCUCUGAGCCAUUACUGCUAGAAGGUAUGGCCAGCAUAAAUAACACUCAAUCAUACUUAUAUGUAUAGGCUUACAUAGUCUUAUGUGGGAAAUGUUCUGAGGUCUAAAUGAAGAGACCCCUUCACAGCAGUAGAAACCCUAACUAAAACACACUACUUAAUUUUUGUCUGGAUGUCCUGUCAAUUGGUAAGAAUUGGAUAUUGAAGUCUCCCACUGACAUGUUACUUUUACAAAUGUGGGUGCCAUAGCAUUUGGGGCACAGAUGUGAAGAAUUAAAAUAUCAUCUUGGUAAAUUUUUCCCUUGGUGAGUAUGAUAUAUCCUUUUUGUCUCUUUUGAUUGGUUUUGGUUUGCAGUCUAUUUUGUUAGCUAUUAGAAUGGCUACACCGGCUUGUUUCUUAGGUCCAUUUUCUUGCGAAAUCUUUUCCAACCCUUUACUCUGAGGUACUGUCUACCAUUAAUGUUGAGGUGUAUUUCUUGUAUUCAGGAGAAGGAUGAAUCCUCUUUUUGCAUCUGUUAGUCUGUGCCUUUUUAUGGGGAACUGAGUUCACUGACAAUGAGAAAUAUUAUCUACCAAUGACUGCUAAUUCCUGUUAUUUUGUUAUUGGUAGUAUUGUUAUUGUUGUUGUUGGUGUUGGUGGUGGUGUAUGUGUGUGUGUGUUUCUCUUCUUUUGGUUUUGCUGGUGUGAGAUUAUUUACUUCCUGUGUUUUCAUGGCUGUGGUUAACUUCCUUGGGUUGGAGUUUUUCUUCUAGUACCUUCUGUAGGGCUGGAUAUGUAGAUAGAUAUUGUUUAAAUUUGAUUUUAUCAUGGAAUAUCUUGUUUUCUCCAUCUACAGUGAUUUAAAAUUUUGCUUGGUAUAGUGGUCUGGGAUGGCAUUUGUGGUAUCUUAGAAUCUGCAGGACAUCUGUUCAGAACCUUCUGGCUUUUAAAGCCUCCGUUGAGAAGUUGGACAUAAUUCUAAUAGGUCUGCCUUUAUGUUACUUGGUCUUUUUUCCUUGCAGCUUUUAAUAUUCUUUAUUUGUUCUAUAUGUUUAGUGCUUUGAUUAUUAUGUGGUCGGGGAAUUUUCUUUUCUGGUCCUAUCUAUUUGGUAUUCUAUAUUUUUGGUAUCUUUACAGGCAUAUCCUCCUUUAGAUUAGGAACAUUUUCUUCUGUGAUUUUGUUAAAAAUAUUCUCUGGGCCUUUGAACUGGGAUUCUUCUCCUUCUAUUCCUACUAUUCUUAGGUUUGGUCUUUUCAUAAUGUCCCAGAUUUCCUGCAUGUUUUGUGUCAGGAAUUUUUUAGGUUCAAUAUUUCCUUCAACUUAUGUAUCCAUUUCUUCUAUUGUAUCUCCAGUGCCUGAGAUUCCCUCUUCCAUCUCUUGUAUUCUGUUGAUGAAGCUUGCCUCUGUAAUUCCUCUUUGAAUUCCUAAAUUUUUCAUUUCCAGAAAUCUCUCAGUUUGUGAGUUGUUUUUUUUUUUUAUUGCUUCUGUUUCCAUUUUCAGUUCUUGAACAGUUUUACUCACUUCCUUCAGCUGUUUGUUUUUUCUUGGCUUUCUUUAAGGAAUUUAUUAAUUUCCUCUUUAAAGGCCUCUAUCAUCUUUGUGAAGUUGGUUUUAAGGUCUUUUUCUUGUGUUUCAGCUAUGUUGGAAAAUUCAGGGCUUGUUAUAGUAGGAUAACUAGGCUCUGAUGAUAAUAUAUUGCCUGGGCUGGUUUUGAUUUUGUUCUUACAGUGGCAUCUUAGCAUCUGGGUUUGGGUCUAGAUUACAGGUCUAGGUGCUGAUUUCUGAGUUUUCUUUGUUGAAUGAGUAUUUUGUCCCUUGGUUUCUGUUUCCUCUCUGGUUUUCUAGCUACUGUGGCCUGUGGUUGAGCAGAGGUCUCCACCCAAGUUGAGGACUGGACUUCUGGUGACUAUUGUGGCAGAAGAAGAGUUCUCUGUCCCCAUGAUGGGGGCUGUGAUGCAGUGAUGAAGAGGGAUGGGGGCACAGAGAGAGUUGGUGAAGUCCAAAGGUGGGUGGCCUACCUGGACUUCUGGUGGCCUUUCAAAUAAUGGAAGAAACAAAGACAUCUGUAUACUUCUUUAUCUCUACAUCCAGAAGAUUCUCUAUAAAGAUUCAGUGCCCUACACAAUAAAAGAAAUGGUGGUUUUAUGCAAUAAGAGGUAUUUAUAGAGAUUUGGAAAGUGGCUACUUCCUUGGGAAACAAUUUUUUUCUAAAAGGCAAGGAAGGGUCAAUGUAGUUCAUAUGAAUAAUUUAUGUAUGUGGAAUAUUUGAGACAAGUGGGCUUGUUCUGCUGCCUGCUCUCAGCAGAAACAUACACCAAGCAGCUAUAAUCAGACAAAUAAAAUGUCCUUCAAGGUAAGCCAUUGGCCACCAGGAUGGGAUCAUUCAUUCCAUACAGAUCUCUUGACAAAGCCUUGUCUUUGCUCAAGGUGGCAGGAAAUGGCUUUGUUUGGAUUUUACUGAGCUACCCAUGCUAAGGAAAAGAGAAUCCCUAGAGUCAUUUUAACAUGCACUCAACAAACAGUGUUUACAGAGCCCAAGCCCUCUCCUCAGCCUACUUGUAGUUCUUCCUGGGUUUACAUGAAGUCUCUGUAUGGAUCAUGCUGAAGGGAGGCAUGGUAUGUGAUAGAUACCAAGUCACAAAGCUCACUGGUAAAAAUGUGACCUUCACUGGGUUCCGUUUCCCUAAGUGAAUCCUACAGCAGAGGAAGUACUGGCUGCUGAGAAAGGAUUAGGGACUGAGCCUUCCUCUCCAUCUGUGUCAGAGGCAAUUUUGGAAAAGGUAGUCUGGUUCCCCUCCUUCCCAUCCCCCAGCCUUCUGAAACAGCAAAACCCAAUUGUAUUUUCUGAUUUGGCCUCUGGAGCAAGGUAAUGUAGCCUGUAAAGCAAGCAGUCAAAUUCUUUUCUUGGCAUUUUUAAUACCAAUUGCCCAGAUAAAACAGAAACCGCAGUGGGCUUCGUCACAGCAACUGGAUGUGAAGAUUAAUUAGCAGGUUUUCUCCCUUUUCACUGCUGAACUGACUGUGUGGGUGACACUCAGCCCCCUCUCUGUGCUCUGGCUGAUGGAUGGAGCAUUCAGCCCAUUAGCUGAAGGGCCUUUCAGCAGGAUGGCACGUCUGUCCUGCAUGACUAUUUAUAGGCUACUUUGUUCUGACAGACCCUUUCAUUCUAGCUACUCCAUCUGAAAUUGUUGGUUUUGAACUUUCCAUUAUCCAUAUGAGUUCUAUGAGCCAAGUAUUAUUUGCAGUUUCAGGCUGUGAAUAUUAUUAGGUCGAAGUGAUUUAAUGUGGCACAUUAGGGACAAAUGCACUACACAUAUCACUGUCAUGGAAACAAACUGGGCAUAGACUAGAGGCAUGAGGUAGAAUUGUUAUGGACCAAUGAUGCUCAAAAUGAAAUUUCAGAAAAUGUAUGUGACAUUCAUCUCAAAUAGAUAUGCUACCCACCAGA